UGGUAGCGGGUGACUCGUAGCGCGAGUCGGUGAGUUUCGGGACAGUUCGUGGGUCCCGGCGGAGUCCCGGUGCGAUUUUCGGGACUUCCGGCGAGUUACGGUAGUCGGUUUUUGGGAAACCGAUCUCCGUGGGAUUGUUUGUGGGGCUGUGGUUUUAGUGUUUUCUAUAUGUGGGUUAGACACUAGCCCGGUGGACCCUCCUUAAGUCCGGUUGACGUUCUUCCGUAGUCAGAAGAUA
rnacentral:lncRNA from 1 species